rnacentral:ncRNA from 1 species
AACGAGAUUGAUUCUUCUUCUUGGCGUAACAUCCCUACUGGGAAAAAUCCUGCUUCUGUUUUAUUUGAGCCAAAGAGAUCCAAAAUCGGACAAGCCACUGAUUUUUGCGAGCUGUUCAAUGUUUGGGGUCAAAAAUGACCUCAGGGUCUUAUUUGUAACUUUUUUUUAGGGACAAAGGAAGGUUAACAGAAGCAGUUGGGGGCAUUAGUAUUAUGGCGCGAGAGGUGAAAUUCGUAGACCGUCGUAAGACUAACUAAAGCGAAAGCAUUUGCCAUGGAUGCUUUCAUUAAUCAAGAGCGAAAGUUAGAGGAUCGAAAGCGAUUAGAUACCGCCCUAGUUCUAACCGUAAACUAUGCCAAUUAGCAAUUGGGAGACGCUACAUUAUGGUGCUCUCAGCAGCUUCCGGGAAACCAAAAUUAGGUUCCGAGGGAAGUAUGGUUGCCAAGUUGAAACUUAAAGGACUUGACGGAAGGGCACCACCAGGAGUGGAGCAUGCGGCUUAAUUUGACUCAACACGGGUAAACUUACCAGGUUAGAACUUAUUGAGGUAACACAGAUUAAUAGCUCUUUCUCAAAAUUAAGGGUAGUGGUUCAGGGCCGUUCUUAGUUCGUGGAAUGAUUUGUCUGGUUAAUUCCAAUAACGAACGUGACUCCAUCAAAUUAAAUAGAACGCUAUCAGCAGUCAGAUGUUUGAUACCGGCGGUUCGGGCAACGGUCGCUCGCGGCUCGCGCUCGGCCAGCGGUGUAGUGUGACCUGUUAAUACGUCACCCCAUCGUGGUUGACCUCUGCUUAAUAGGGCAAUUUGUGUUCAGCAAAAUGAGAUUGAGCGAUAACAGGUCAGUGAUGCCCUUAGAUGUUCUGGGCUGCACGCGCGCUACAAUGUGCGCAGCAACGCGUAUCCUUGCCCGAAAGGGCCGGGAAAUCGCUUAAAUGCGCAUGGCCAGGUAAAGGCACAUACUAGGGUCGAAAGCCUUAGUAUGGGCAACUCCUACUUCCACCUCCACGCGGUACCUGGUGGGAUACCUUAGCAGCAAGGUAUGCAAGCGGAAGAGGUGGGGUUCACAG